AUUGAACGCUGGCGGCAGGCCUAACACAUGCAAGUCGAACGAGUGGCGGACGGGUGAGUAAUGUCUGGGAAACUGCCUGAUGGAGGGGGAUAACUACUGGAAACGGUUGCUAAUACCGCAUACCAUCACUUGUGCCCUGAUGGGAUUAGCUAGUUGGUGGGGUAACGGCUAAACAAGGCGACCAUCCCUAGCUGGUCUGAGAGGAUGACCAUCCACACGUGAACUGCGACACGGACCAGACUCAUACGGGAGGCAGCAGUGGGGAAUAGUGCACAAUGGGCGCAAGCAUGAUGCAGCCAUGCCGCGGGGAUGAAGAAGGCCUUCGGGUUGUAAAGUACUUUAAGCGGGGAGGCGUUACCCGAAGAAGAAGCACCGGCUAACUCCGUGCCAGCAGCCGCGGUAAUAG
rnacentral:rRNA from 1 species